AUUCUCAGGGCGGGGUGAAAUUCCCCACCGGCGGAGACAGCCCGCGAGCCUUAAACGGUAAGAUCAUGGUGAAAAUCCUGAGCCGACGGUAAAAGUCCGGAUAGAAGAGAGUA
rnacentral:ncRNA from 1 species